rnacentral:rRNA from 1 species
CCUACGGGAGGCAGCAGUCGAGAAUCAUUCACAAUGGGGGAAACCCUGAUGGUGCGACGCCGCGUGGGGGAAUGAAGGUCUUCGGAUUGUAAACCCCUGUCAUGUGGGAGCAAAUUAAAAAGAUAGUACCACAAGAGGAAGAGACGGCUAACUCGGUGCCAGCAGCCGCGGUAAUACAGAGGUCUCAAGCGUUGUUCGGAAUCACUGGGCGUAAAGCGUGCGUAGGCUGUUUCGUAAGUCGUGUGUGAAAGGCGCGGGCUCAACCCGCGGACGGCACAUGAUACUGCGAGCCUAGAGUGAUGGAGGGGGAACCGGAAUUCUCGGUGUAGCAGUGAAAUGCGUAGAUAUCGAGAGGAACACUCGUGGCGAAGGCGGGUUCCUGGACAUUAACUGACGCUGAGGCACGAAGGCCAGGGGAGCGAAAGGGAUUAGAUACCCCUGUAGUC